UGGGGAAUCUUGCACAAUGGGGGCAACCCUGAUGCAGCGACGCCGCGUGAGCGAUGAAGCCCUUCGGGGCGUAAAGCUCUUUCGACCGGAACGAUAAUGACGGUACCGGGGGAAGAAGCUGCGGCUAACUACGUGCCAGCAGCCGCGGUAAUACGUAGGCAGCAAGCGUUGUUCGGAGUUACUGGGCGUAAAGAGUGCGUAGGCGGUUUUCUAAGUUCGGUGUGAAAUCUCCCGGCUUAACUGGGAGGGUGCGCCGAAGACUGGGAAGCUGGAGUGUGGGAAAGGCAGGCGGAAUUCCUGGUGUAGCGGUGAAAUGCGUAGAUAGCAGGAGGAACACCGGCGGUGUAGACGGCUUGCUAGACCAUAACUGACGCUGAGGCACGAAAGCGUGGGUAGCAAACA
rnacentral:rRNA from 1 species